rnacentral:lncRNA from 1 species
AUUCUAUGCGUUAUAUCUUCCAUUCUCCUAGAAUGACACGCCUAGAUAUCUAAGUUGUUGCAUUUAGGCACCACAAUCCCAUCCAAUCUCACAUCAACUUCACUCUUCUUAUGUAGACUAAACUUGCAAUGCAUAUAGUUAGUUUUACUUCUACAUAUCUUAAAUUCUUGUCUUACUUCUACUUAUCUAAAAAUUCUUGCCUUACUUCUAACAACAACUACCCAGUAUAGUCCCACCAGGUGGGGUCUGGGGAGGGUAAUAUGUAGACGAGCGUGUUAUAAUUACAUUGUCCAAUAUGUUCCUCCCCUCUAUGAAUGCAGACUGAGCAGGUCCCACAAUAGAGUCAACUACCAGCUUCAAUAGCAACUACCCAGUAUAGUCCCACAAAGUGGAGUCUGGGGAGGGUAAUAUGUAGACAGGCCUUACCCCUACCCGAAAGGGCAGAGAGGCUGUUUUUAAUCGACC